rnacentral:misc_RNA from 1 species
GGUCUAGACUAUAAAUCAAACCAACAAACAAAACUGUAAAUUAAAAGCACGCAAGCCAUCAGAUUGGUCCAUACAAGACUGGAAUUUUCUCAGUAUCAAAAUUAUGAGCAUACUAUAGAUUAUACAUUCUGUACCCUCAUUUUCGUCAAAAUGCAUCAGCUAUAAAAACACAGAUCUUAAUGAUUACUUAUAGAAGUAGCUUCUAGAAUUGUAGCCUCGCAAGAGAGCAAAAGUUCUGUUGUCAAUACCACCAAAAUACUGAGAAAUGUAGAGUAACUUUCCCAGAUGGAAAUCACACUACCUACUGACAAUCUCAGUACACACGGUUGCUGAUAGUUUGAUAAAGUGAUCUAAGUUGUGUGUUCCAUUUGUCGAUGGCAGUAUACUUCUUCAUUCCCUUUGACCUGUCUGCG